rnacentral:rRNA from 1 species
AUGCAAGACUAUUUCGCGAAGAAUCCAACGUAUCCAUCGCACCUCUUCCGGAGAAGGUACCGAAUGCGCCGAUCCCUCUUUGUGAGAAUUGUUGAAGCUUGCGAGGCAAAUUGUCGGUAUACUCAACGAAGAAAUGUUGCGUGCUUGAAGGGAUUUAGUGCAUAUCAAAAAAUCUCGGCAGCUAUGCGGGUAAUUGCAUAUGGCGUUCCGGCUGAUUAUGCCGAUGAGUAUCUUAUCGUUGGUGAAGAUACAACAAUUGAGUCAGUGCGUAGAUUUGCCAAAGUGAUCAUCCGUGUCUUUAGUCCCGAAUAUCUUUGGGCACCGAACGAGGAUGACACAAAGAAAUUGAUGGCAUCUAAUGAGAGGAGAUGUUGGCCUGGCAUGCUAUGUAGCAUUGAUUGUAUGCAUUGGACAUGGAAAAUUUGUCCGAAGGCAUGGCAGGAAAUGUAUUGUGGCAAGUCUCGUGAUGCAACAAUUGUGCUAGAGGCCGUAGCAUCCGAGGAUUUGUGGAUUUUGCAUUGCUUCUUUGGUAUGUCGGACACUCUCAGUGAUAUCAAUGUGUUGCAACGGUCUCAUUUGUUUGAUAGGCUUGCUAGUGGUGAUGCUCCUGCUUGCAACUACAAUCAAUGGGCAUGA